rnacentral:rRNA from 1 species
GAUGAACGCUGGCGGCGUGCCUAAUACAUGCAAGUCGAGCGAACAGAUGAGGAGCUUGCUCCUCUGACGUUAGCGGCGGACGGGUGAGUAACACGUGGAUAACCUACCUAUAAGACUGGGAUAACUUCGGGAAACCGGAGCUAAUACCGGAUAAUAUAUUGAACCGCAUGGUUCAAUAGUGAAAGACGGUUUUGCUGUCACUUAUAGAUGGAUCCGCGCCGCAUUAGCUAGUUGGUAAGGUAACGGCUUACCAAGGCACGAUGCGUAGCCGACCUGAGAGGGUGAUCGGCCACACUGGAACUGAGACACGGUCCAGACUCCUACGGGAGGCAGCAGUAGGGAAUCUUCCGCAAUGGGCGAAAGCCUGACGGAGCAACGCCGCGUGAGUGAUGAAGGUCUUCGGAUCGUAAAACUCUGUUAUUAGGGAAGAACAAAUGUGUAAGUAACUAUGCACGUCUUGACGGUACCUAAUCAGAAAGCCACGGCUAACUACGUG